UACAAUGCUUUAAUUUUUUUUUUAACCUGUUCUUGCUCUCUGUUUUCUGAGUUUUAUAUUCUUGCUCUUUGUUUUUUGAAGUUUAUAUUCUUGCAACAAUUAUGCUCUUUGCCAGAUUAUCGAGAUGUAAGUAGAAAAAGACAGAAUUUUGAGAACUGGAGCCUUUCUUUAAUUUCAGGGUUGCUUACUUUCAAUUUCUUAAAGUAUAGGAAAGUUUACAUACUAGGAGUUGAUGGUGUGAUCCCAGAUGAACUAUGGAGUUUGAAAUUCCUCACCUACCUGAGGGCGACUGUUAACAGCUUGUCAGGUUCACUUUCUCCAUUUAUCGAGAAUCUAACAACAUUAAAAAUCCUGACUUUGUAAGUAAUAGAUUAUCUGGGCAGCUUCCAAAAGAGCUUGGGAUGCUUUCUGAAUUAGAAGUCUUAGGAAUUGGAAGAAACAACUUCUCUAGCCCUCUGCCAUUUGAGCUCAGUAAUUUGACAAAAUUAACAAAAUUGAUGUAGAGGAAUUGGAACAAACAACUUCAAUGGUCCUCUGCCACCUGAGCUCGGUAAUUUGACGAAAUUAUUGACAUUGAGGGCUUUUGACAUUGAACUUACAGGAAGGAUCCCUGACUUCAUAGGAAACUGGUCAAAUAUGAAAGACUUAGAUCUGAGUUUCAACAAUACAAGUGGAUAGAUUCCUAUCUCGUUUUUCAAUUUGAGUUCACUAACUUGCCUGUUUCUUGGAAAUAAUAAGUUAAAUGGUACCCUCCCUAAACUAAAAGGUUCAAAACUUCUCAAUAUUUUACAUUCUCCUCACUUGAUGUUGGAAGAGAUGCAUCUUACAAUAAUUUAUCUGGUAGCCUGCCUUCUUGGAUUCAAGAACAAAAUUUACAAUU